rnacentral:lncRNA from 1 species
UAUAAAAACCGUAACGAGCAGCCAGCAUGGUGCUUGCUAAAGACUGAGGGCACAGAUCAGCGGAAGAGAAUAGAGAGCCCAGAAAUAGAUCCUUCCAGAAAUAGCCAACUAAUCUUUGACAAAAGAAGAAAGGCAAAUCACCGGAGACAGUGCUGUCUUUUCAGCUCUGGCUUCUCUUUGUUCUGUGAGUUUGUGAUUCAUCCUACUGGCCACCCAGGACAGGGUGAACGGAAGAGGAGAGAAUGGCAGGUAAUUGGAGCAAGGAGGAGAAGAGCUUAAGAGAAGGUCCUGCCUUUGGUCAUCAAACCCAUAGUCUACUCCAGAGAAAAAGAUCCUUUCAGGGGAAACGUUGCAGGGUGGUGAAGCCUUGAACACUACUUUGUGCAUCUGUUUUGCUUUCAACUAAGGAUGAUCAAUAAGUACUAACAGCCAAUCCAGGUCCUCUUCAAGAACAACAAGUGUUCUUAACUGCUGAGCCAUUUCUCCAGUCCCCAUCAGAGAACUUCUCGGUUGGGUUAGUAGCAGUGGACAGAUUGGCCUUAAAUAUGGGCAGCAGCAACUUGUGGCCUGCAGUCUUGAACUGUGCAAAGAAGAAAACAAAGCAGCAGCAUUUAUCAGCCUCUGCUUCUUGAGUUUGGAUGCACUGUGGUCAGCUGCCUCAUGCUCCUCAUAUGGUGGCUUCGAAGUAUGAAUCAAAACAAAUGCUUCCUCCUUUUAGUUGGAGCUUGAUAUGUAUUUGAUCACAGAAAAGCUAUAACUUAACUAACACAUUAUGUCUGUGUUUGCUAAGGAAGUUAUAGAGUAUAAAGACUAUUUAACAGGGUAUGUACUAUUACUGUUAAUAUGCAAAUAAUUACAUUUUAAAGCUAUCGUUAAGAGUCUAAAUGUACACCUCUUGUGUUAGAUACCUCUGCAUGCCUAGAAAUACAUUGGCACAUUACUGAAUUGUUAACUGUAAGUGAUUAUGUGAGAAACUAAAUAAAAAGAGUAAUUUUCUGGCAAAGGAGGAUUUCC